GACUACAGGGGUAUCUAAUCCUGUUUGAUCCCCACGCUUUCGUGUCUUAGUGUCAGUGUUGGACCAGCUAUCCGCCUUCGCAACUGGUAUUCCUCCUGAUAUCUACGUAUUUCACCACUACACCAGGAAUUCUAAUAGCCUCUUCCACACUCAAGCUUGAUAGUAUCAGAUGCACUUCUAGGGUUGAGCCCUAGGAUUUCACAUUUGACUUAAAAAGCAACCUACACCCGCUUUACGCCCAAUGAUUCCGAACAACGCUAGGAUCCCUCGUCUUACCGCGGCUGCUGGCACGAAGUUAGCCGAUCCUUUCUUAUAUGGUACAUUCAUUAUUAUUCCCAUACGACAGAGCUUUACGACCCGAAGGCCUUCAUCGCUCACGCGGCGUCGCUGCGUCAGGGUUUCCCCCAUUGCGCAAUAUUCCCUACUGCAGCCCCCCGUAGG
rnacentral:rRNA from 1 species